rnacentral:rRNA from 1 species
UAAUACGGAGGGUCCAAGCGUUAUCCGGAUUUAUUGGGUUUAAAGGGUUCGUAGGCGGGAUGUUAAGUCAGUGGUGAAAGCCUUCAGCUCAACUGGAGAAUUGCCAUUGAUACUGAUGUUCUUGAGUAUACUUGAAGUUGGCGGAAUAUGUCAUGUAGCGGUGAAAUGCAUAGAUAUGACAUAGAACACCGAUUGCGAAAGCAGCUGACUAAAGUAAAACUGACGCUGAGGAACGAAAGCGUGGGGAGCGAACAGGAUUAGAUACCCUGGUAGUCCACGCCGUAAACGAUGAUCACUCGAUAUUGGCCUUCGGGUCAGUGUCCUAGCGAAAGUGUUAAGUGAUCCACCUGGGGAGUACGGUCGCAAGACUG